rnacentral:lncRNA from 1 species
AUGUUAAUCAUCAUCAUCAUCAUUAUCAUGCACUUUCUUCUUGCAGUCCGGGGAUUCUCCAAGCUGGCCAUUAUUGCCAUUGUCUUAGCGGCCCUGGCUGCCUUAGUGGAAAUGAUCAUGGAGCUUUUCGCCGUUUACAGUUAUUCUCGCCAAGAAGGUCGGACACUUUCUUCAGUUCUCAACUGUCCCUCUUGGGGGAGAUAAGCCCUGGGAUCCAAGAGACAAGCCUUUCCCUGGAUGAAUAAGAUAUGGAGUUUCCAUCUCCAGUGAAUGGACAAAGCCUGAAGAACAGAAUACAGAAAAAUAACACCGACACCUGUCGAGUCAUGAAAAUGAACAGAAAGGUCAGAUUGGUGAAAUCAUAUUGAUCUUGUUCAGGUUCCAAUUGGUACCGUUUGAGAAAAUACAUCUCCAACAUUUCAUCCUCUGCACUGAUGGACCAUGCAAUGACAAGAUCUUGCUCAAAAAUAAAAUGGAAGAGAACCCCAAGUUUGCAAAUUUCUUCUUUAGUUUAAUUCCCAAGCACAGAGAGGAAAUCAAAUGGAAAGGUAUAAUCUCACUUUAUGAAUAAGGAUUUUGUCUCCUAUAAAAUCAAUGAUAUGAACAGUCGGCUUUCAACACUUGUUAAGAUCAUGGGCAAAAAAACACCAUAGUUGGAAGAGCACACAUGGGCCAUCCAGGAAAAGCACAAUCAAAGCAUCCCCAACAGAUGGCCAUCCAGCCUUUGUUUAAAAGGUUCCAAGGAAGGAGCUUCCACCACACUCCAAUGUAGAGAGUUCCACUGCUGAACAGCUCUUACAGUCAGGAAGUUCUUCCUAAGUUCAGGUGGAAGUUCAGGUGGAAUGUCCUUUGCUCUGAGUCCUAGUCUCCAGAGCAGCAGAAAGCAAGUCUGCUCCUUCCUCCUUGUGACAUUCUUUCACAUAUUUAUACUUACUUACUUACUUAGGCGAUCCCUCGUAGCUCGAGGACAAUUGUCUUCCAUCUUGGGGGUUCUUAGGUGGCUGAAUAUUGACCCGCAUAUUCUCCCGCAGUGAGGACAUCGGUUUCCAGGUGGAAGGCGGUACCGGUCGGGGUUAGCUUGACGCUCCUUCCUCUUGGCACGUUUCUCCCUUAAGCCCUCCGUUCAUGCCUCUUCGAACUCCGCAGCACUGCUGGUCACAGCUAACCUCCAAUUAGAGCGCUCAAGGGCCAGGGCUUCCCGGUUCUCAAUGUCUAUGCCACAGUUUUUAAGUUUGGCUUUGAGCCCAUCUUUAAAUCUCUUUUCCUGCCCACCAACAUUACAUUUCCCAUUCUUGAGUUCGGAGAAGAGUAACUGCUUUGGGAGACGGUGAUCGGGCAUUCGGACAACGUGGCCAGUCCAGCGGAGUUGAUGGCCUAGGAGCAUUGCUUCAAUGCUGGUAGUCUUUGCUUCUUCCAGCACGCUGACAUUUGUCUGCCUGUCUUCCCAAGGGAUU